GGACUUAAGAAGAGUUUAAGGUCAAAAUGGCAGACUUAUAGGGGUUUACGGUGAUCGGAGAUGUUUGGUCGUAAACUCCUUUUGUUCUGGAGGAAUGGAUGAUUUCAAAGCUCUAAUCAAGUGUUGUAACUAGAUAACAAAUUAAGGAUAGAGUACUUACGAUAUAGAGUCUUGAAAUGGUGAUUAAGGUCCAUGAACACUAAUGUGUGUUCUUGGUGCUCUUGGUGAAACUUGAAGAUUUGAAGAUCUAGACAAAAUUGAUGAUUUCUAUGGAUGAAAUCAUUAGAUGAUACUAGAUUAAGAGGGAUAACAACAACUAGGGUGAAGAACACUUACGUUUUUAAAGAUCUAAGAUGAAGAACUUGAUGAUACUUGAGAGAAUUUGAGGAAUUUUCAGCCAAGGAAGGAAAGAAUGAGAAGAAUGAAGAGCCCUCAUAUAUAUAUAUANNNNNNNNNNNNNNNNNNNNNNNNNNNNNNNNNNNNNNNNNNNNNNNNNNNNNNNNNNNNNNNNNNNNNNNNNNNNNNNNNNNNNNNNNNNNNNNNNNNNNNNNNNNNNGCUUGAUCUUUGAACUGUGGCUUCAGCAGGUACUUCCUAACUCUCAUUCCUUAUGUCUACUAGGCUAAAACUCCUUAGAAUGACCUUUAACAAGGCUGAAACUCAUUAGCAAUGAGUUUGACACUCAGUUGAGUUGGCUGACUUAGCUUUUAAAGCAAUAAAUUUUCAGGUUGUCGCAUCAUCCCCCCGUUAGAUGGAAUUUCGUCACGAAAUUAGCUUUCUUACAGUAUUGCUGGGGUUGCACUCCUUUGAUUUGCAGAAUACCCAGUCGUAGACCUGGCAACUUUUCCCUAGUGUUCAUGAUAGGAUUCAUACUCGGACCAUCUAUCAUUACGUCAUGUAUACCAGUCGCAUAUAAUUAGGAUUAGUAAGACGGUCGGAUGUGCGACUCUGCCCCAGGUCCACCACCAAACAAGGAAUAUAGGUGGGCUGUAUUUGUCCUUAGCCUCUGUUCUCGAACUUGGUCUGCUGGACGAGCGGUAUUUCGUGACGGUCGGUGGAACAUACGGUGGCAAGGCUUCGGAGGACAAAGUACCCUUCGCAUGAGUACUUCGGGGUUUAGAAUACGAAAGACGAAAUUGAGGUUUUAGAUCGGGCUGUCGAUACGAAUGACGAAGGCUUUGUGAACUUGACGGUCGACGCGAUAGAAACAUAUGAACUUAGUAUGGUGAGGACCAUGCCAACUCAUGACGAAUGCUAGAAAUGGACUCUUUGCUGAGCAAAAUUUUGGCCAAUUUGAAAGACACGUUUGUUAUACGAUGAUGUACUUCUCUAGUGUUCUUUUUGUAAACGUUCUAGUGCUUUCUGUUUUCCCUUUGAUGUUAACACUUCUACGCAUCGUACCGUGAUUAGCGAGUACAUACAAUGAAAUUUCAUUGAUAACUAGUGUCGAUACUUAUACUACGAUCCUCUUUGGUACCACUAUGAUCUUCUGUCAUAUACAAGUUAUGAAUAGUUAAGAUGAAUAUGACCGUCGACUGAGUAACUCUGCCUCGAAUCAACAACCAAACAAGGAACAGGAAUUAAGGCGGAAUCACUCACUCUAAAUCUGCAACAUCUUAGCUAUACACAACCUUGAUUAGAGAUGUACACAAAAACCGGUUUCACUAUUCAAAACCGAAUCAAAUCCGAAACUGGUUUGACCAAACCGGAUCGGAUCGGAUUCAAAACCGGAUUUUCAAUCGGAUCCUAAUCCUACAUUUCAAAUCGGAUUUGAUACCAGGUUUACUAAAUACCGGAUCCAAAUCCGUCCCAAAAUCCGCUUAAAACCCACUAAAAUCGGUUUAAACCGGAUUAGAAUUGGAUUCGGAUUUUGACCGGAUCCAGAUCGGAUUUUUACUGGAUUCGGAUCGGAUUUUUAUCGGAUCGGAUUCUUGAUGACGUAAGUGAAACCGGAUCAGAUCGGAUCGGAUUCGGGUUUUGUGCAUCUCUAACCUUGAUGUACAUACAAAGCCAUCAUAGCUUCUCUGAACGGAUCUUUAGUUCUCUUGAAAACCAUGACUUGUUUCAUUAAGUGUGUUAUUAUAAUUACUUUUAAGUGUUUUCCCCAAGCUUUAAUCUUAUAUAAAUAUAAAUUAAUUCUUUAAGUAACUACUUUUUCGAAAAUGUAUCGUUACUCACUAACGACUCUAGGGUUGAUUCUCCUACGGUGAUCAUCAAAAUCCGUCCAUCAGCUCCUGAGUUCUUAGUUAUCGGGCAGUCCUCCUGGUAAUGUACCGUCUCACCACAGCCAUAUCAGGCUUGGUCUUCUUCAACUCCAGGGACUUGGGAGAUCGGUUGAGCCGGUGCCCUGCAGAAACGGACUGUAUGUCCCUUUCUAUGGCAGUUCUGACACUGCAUGUCUCGGCAUACUCUAGUAUGGUGAUAGUUGCACAUUCCAAACUUCGGAAGGGUUCCAGCAUACCGACUGGUAGGUGUUGGAGUAGCAGGUGUUGUGGCGGUGUACAUGGUACUCGUUUGCUUCUUUUUCCUCUUGUUCCUUGUCUUCCAUUUAUAGUCCCUCCCUUUAAUGGCUCGGGAACGGGGACUUCCACGCCAUGGCGGACUCCGUGGUCAAUGAGUCGUUGGGCCAAGCGUUUGGUGCUAUCGAACGUGGCUGGGUUAGAAGACAACACAUCUCCUUGGAUCGGGGCAGUUAGACCCCAGAUGCAUCUUUCUAUCUUCUUGCUCUCUGGGGUAACCAUCCCGGGGCAUAGCACUACUAGGUCGUUAAACCGGUCGGUGUAGGUUACUACGUUAGAGCCGACCAUAGUGAGCUCCCAUAGUUCUUGUUCCAGAUUUUGAACUUCACCUCUCGGUAAAUAUUCUUCCAUCAUUAACUCUUUUAGGUUCUCCUAACCUAUUGAGUUAGCCACUGAUAGGGUCAUUGACUUGACAUGGCCAUCCACCAUGUUAGGGCCUUGUUGGAGAAAGUGCUGAAAACAAGGUUCACUUUGCUCCCUUCAGAGGACGAACAUAUUUUGAAGACCGAAUCUGUUUUCUUGAACCAUCACAUCAGAAUGAUGACUCCACCAUUUUCUUCGAAGGAUUUGGGUUUGCAGUUCAUGAAGUCCUUGUAUGAACACUCUCGUGGGUGUCCGUGGGUAUCUCCAGGGACAGAUAGGUGGGUACCGCUACCAGUUUCACUGGUACCACCUUCGUCGAAGUGAGCCAGAGCAACCGUUAUUGCGGCUACUAUCACUGCUUGGAGACCAAUAGGAUCGAAUUAUGGCGGAGGGGUUGGAGUUAUCAGAGUAGUGCGUCUGUUUGAUCUGCAAGGAGGCGUCUCUGCUAAAAGAAUACAAAGACGAGAUGGAAUAAGUCUAUAACAGUGGACAUAAGUCGAAAGCUGAAAAGAUAAGGUUAUCCUAGUUCUGAGUUUAUCGGGUCCUGACUUCCACAAGGUUCUGGAAACAAUUCAUAAAUGAGUCUAUAUCUAAUAAACUUUAUGAAUUUGAAAUGGCUAUCCUCGAAUGAAUAUCUGUUACCUGAAUAAUUGUUACCAGCUGCAUGUAAGAAAACAAUCCUAACACAUAAUGUGAUCAGUGUCUCCACUAGAUCAUUAAGUUAACCAAGAUUAUUAUUUAUCAGUGUGACCCAUAAGACGUUUUGGUUACUUCGGCAGAUCUUUCUUUGAAAACUUCUUCUUGGUCUUGCUCUUGUUCCUGCUUGACUCUUCUGUUGAAUGCUAUGAGGAAGUGGUUACGUCUAUCUGGGUUUGUCGUGUGAGAAUUGAUUUGUCUAAAGAAUCUAUGAGAUUAAGUGAAACAUUAUGGGGUGAUCCUUACAGAGUCUUCCUAUAAUUUCACAAUAUAUAAAAGUUGUAUAUAAUUCAAGAUUAAAUAGACUUUUGAAUAGGUGAUCCUACUCCAAAACCACAACUAAACAAGGAACAGGUAGUGAAGCGUAUAUCACAAAUUCUGAGUCUAUAAAAUCUCAAUUAUAUAUAACCUUGGGAGUAUACAUUGUAAGAUUAUAGACCUAUCCGUAAGAUUCUUUUAAGUUAUCAUAUAAGUUAUUUAUAUAUAGUGCCUAAAAUACUCCUAUAGUAUUUUAGUGUAAUGAACAUGAUAUGUUUUAAAAUUGUUGUCGUGUUAUAGUAUCAUAAGAUACUCCCAUAGUAUCUUAUCUUUAUGUUCUGAUCUAGAAUUCUUCUGAAUAGGGUUUGGUAAGUUUUAAGAUUAUUGCAACACCACCUCACUCCCAAACAUAUAUCGGUCACAUCUCGAAUAAAUAUAUUUGACCGAGCUAUAUUGAUUCUAGCUAUGAUUACAUAACUAUUCAGAUUUGACCACAGUGUUCAACCUUUAAAUACUUCUGUUCUGUUCUUCUUGUGAUACUUGUUCUAGUAUGUAUAUAAGUAUAAGCACGUAUGUAUCCUUUUAUAAGGUAUCAUUAUAUAUUUAAAAUAUAUUCUUAUCCAGAGCACUUCGGCCCCAUUGUAUUUAUAGUUGUAUAUCUUUUAUCGGUUAAUAUACUUAGUUCACUAUAAACAAUGCUCUGAUACCAAUCCUUCACACCCCAAAACCGGAACUACGGAAACGUUCGGGGGCGGAGGACGUCAUGUUUACUAUCACAAAACAUGCAUCAUAGUAAGCUAAGUAAUAAACAACCAUUUCAUUUGAAAGAAAGUGUUUACAAAGUAUGUGCUCACAAAACAAAGCGUACAUAAGCAAAUAACAAAACAAGACUUUAAGCUAUUAUGCUCCAUCUUCUGAAUUCCCAGUAUGCGUACCUGUGUACUAUUUUCCUGAGAAUACAAGUUAUUUUGAAAGAGUUGAUCAGCAAUUAAGCUGGUGAGUUCAUAAGAUUUUAGUGAUGUAAGUAAGUUGUAGAAAGUUUAGUAAAUUGAAGAAAGUUGUAAGUUUUGUUUAGUAAAGUACGCUUGUUCCUCCAGAAAAUCCUAUAUUUCAUGCUUUAAUGAAAGAUAAGUAAAAAUGACUCUAUAAUCCUUUCUAUGAGUACUAAACGGAUACAAGUUAUAUAAAACCCAAAGUAAACAAAUAAUCGAUUGGGUGUAUCUGCCCUAAGCCCACAACCAAACAAGGAACGGGGAAUGAGGCGGAUGACACACAUCCUAUUGGUUGUUAGAUCAUCGUUGUAUAUAACCCUGGUGUAUUCACUUGUUAAUCGCGGAGUUAAUUGCAAUAGUUACUUUAUAUUUGAUUGAAAAUAUCCUUUAAGAAAACCAUUAUUUCUUAUAAUAAAAUAGUAACCACAUUGAUUUCUUCUAUAAUCACUUAGUUUAUACUAGCUAUAUAUAAUCUAAUAUCGAACAGAUAGUUAAUUGUGUGAAUCUGCCCUAAGCCCACAACCAAACAAGGAACAAGAAAUGAGGCGGAAAGCACACAUCCAACUACCUAUCGAGUAUUAAAUAUAUAUAACUUCGAUGUAUAAAGUAAGGUAUUAUAGAGUUAACCACCUAAGAUCUUUUAAGUUAUGCUGGUUUAAUAGAAUGGAUUAAACCCUUUACUGGUAAGUUUGUAGUUUUGUAUACCAAAUGUUCUCUUUGAAAAGUAUGGUGUGUACUAGAAAAACUGUGCAUUGAAUUAGUGUCCUAUGACCUGACCUACAACUGGUACCCCUUAUGAUUACUUGGUGUAUACGGAAUAUAUAUACAGCUAGGAUCGAAUAAAUAGUAGGCUGGGUGAAUCUGUUCCAAGCCCACAACCAAACAAGGAACAGGAAGUGAAGCAGAAAGCACACAUCCUACUACUUUUCGGACCCGAUUAAUAUAUAUCCCUUAAUGCAUACACUAAGGAAUCAUAAAGUUAGCAUUAUAGGUCCCUUUCUACUGAAUGUACUAGAACCGACUGUUAUGUUUGUCGUUUGAAAAGAUGUAAGUUUUCCCUAAUUUAUAACUAUCUUGACUCGAAAAUAGUUUGUAUUAACUUUCAACUGGAAAUUUCACGUUAUGAAAGUAAUGGAAAAAUAUACGUACUCAGUUGUCUCAUGAAUCGACAUCCUGACGUACUGAUUAACUUAAAACAUGUUUGUUUUUUUAAGGUCAUAAUGUGAAGGCUAGUUCCCAUACUAUACACUCUCCCUGUCAAAAGAUUCUGGGAACCAAACGUGACAUUAGCAAACUAGUUGCUAGGUCGUGUAAUCCACAUUAAAGUUAUAUGAUCAUGUAUACCCAAUAAGUUAUCACCUUUUGUUCAGAACAAUGCGUUAGUGAUUAUUGUUAUAGUUAGAUCAUGUAAGUGUUCUAUGCUAUAGCAUCUAAGUAUGUCUGUUCUAUUAUAGUAGAUUAGUAUGUAUUGUUUCUAGUUAUAGUGUUAUCUAUCUGUUUCUCAUUAUAGUGUUUUCUCUUUUAUGUUAUCGUGUAUUGUAUCUAGUAUGAACUGACCCUCUAAACUAUACCAUUUAUAGUUUACUAGUAUUUUACUUGAACUUUUGUUGAAAAGACUCAUUUUACUACUAAGUUAUGCUUGUACUUUUAAAAAUGGAGUUUUGUUAAACUAAAAAGUAGCAUAACUUUAAAAGAGUUUUUGAAAUGUUUUGAUCACUUAAAAAAGACAUAAGCAACCUUCUGAAAGAUGUUUAUCACAAACAUUAACACAAUUAUCAUUGUGUUCAACUUGAAUUCCCCUCCCCCUUAAAACAUUAAAAACAGUUAAAAGAUUCAUUACGGGGUGUGAACUCACCUGAUGGGGGUGAUUCAAAAGAAUAUUUGUGUAAGGACGAGAAGUUCCACGAAUGAAGUCCCGCGACUUAACAAAUCCGAAAUGACAAAAUGCAGGGAAACACCUCACGGGACUAGGAGACACUUGGAAUGAAGUGUUGAAUCACAUGUGAUUGAUCAUGGAAGACUUCACGGCCGCCAAUGGAGUUUACGGCCAUAAGUUUAUGGCCAAGGGAGUUUACGGCCGUAAACUCAUGGUCAAUUGCCAAAGUGUGUGGUUUAAGGUCCUAUAAUACCCAUUAAGGGUUCAAGCUCUAAGGCUUGGACUUAUGAAGAGUUUAAGGUUAAAAUGGCAUAAUUAUAGGGGUUUACGACCAUGGGAGAUUUCUUGGCCGUAAACUCCUUUUGUUCUUGAGGAAUGGAUGAUUUCAAAGCUCUAAUCAGGUGUUGUAACUAGAUAACAAGUUAAGGAUAGAGUACUUAUGAUAUAGAGGCUUGAAAGGGUGAUUAAGGUCCAAGAACACUAUUGUGUGUUCUUGGUGAAACUUGAAGAUUUGAAGAUCUAGACAAAAUGGAUGAUUUCUAUGGAUGAAAUCAUUAUAUGAUACUAGAUUAAGAGGGAUAACAAAAACUAUGGUGAAGAACACUUACAUUUUUGAAGAUCUAAGAUGAAGAACUUGAUGAUACUUGAGAGAGUUUGAGGAAUUUUC
rnacentral:lncRNA from 1 species